AGCCCCGCGACCUCUGGAUGGAGCAGCACCCCUUGCUCCUCUACCACCCCUUCCUCUAGCUCCAACUUGAAAAUCUUCAUAACCAUAGUUAAAAGCAUAGCUGAACCAGACAAGAAAGGUGUCAACGCCAAGUGAUAAACUGAAGCAUGGGCUGAGUAAAGAUGAAACCAUUUUUAUUUCAUUUAAGCUGAAGAGGUUUAAAAAGAAAAUUCCAUUGGUAAAGGCUCACAGCAUUUCUCCCAGAGUCUUCUACCAAAGGAAUCAUACAACAAGGGUCAAGCACUCUCCCUUUGAUCCUGAAGGGCAGUAGCUGGGAACACCGGUAGCCAACCUGCAGCUCACACCUGGGAGAUCUGAGAGCACCUGUGGCUGCAAUAAGCAGUUUGGCUGCUCUUAAACCUAACACAACAAUAAACAACAGAAAGCAAAACUAACACUUCUUCAAGUGCCAGAUGUGAUCCUUCUGCAUACAUAAAGUGGGCAAGACUGGAAUAGAGCCUCUGCACACAACAAGAACAAACUAAGGGACGCAACAAGCCAGAAAGGUCAGACACCAGCGCCCACAUCAAUUUCUGCCUUCAGCCACAAACUAUGCACUGUAUACUUUUUCAGCAUUUCUCAUGCACACAUUUGUUUCCGUUUCCAUCAACUGCAUGUAUUUGGCAAAUGGCACUGAAAAUAUACAAGUUCUUUCCCGCACAUUUUCCACUUUCAUGUCGCACUUAAAUACAAAGCAAUACAAGGUAUUAAAAUGGUAACACCUUAAAAAAUAUAUAUUAAACGGGACAAAACACUAUCGAGCUUUAAUUUCUUUAGCCUUCCAUUCCUUACAUCUGUAAGCUUACUUCAGAAUGACACUGGUGGGACCCAUGUCCCCUUUCACCUCCCACUUAACUAUGUAAUAAUGUCAUCAGAAGAUCUUGUUUAACAGUUUGUUUAGGAUGCUUCUCUUUUGAGCCAAGAAAUUCAGACAGACUGACAGAUGCAGGAAAUGCCACUCUCAACAAAUUUUGCCUUCAAGACUCUUCCCUGCUGCUGAGCAACUACAAUACUAGGCAAGAAAAACAAAGCCUGCAAAGACCGUACUCCAAAAUGCUUCUGCAAUACCCUUACUACAAAAGUGGAUUUUUUUUUCCCCAAAAGUGAGCCCCUGCCUCAACCCUUUUCCCUUAUGGAUCAGCAAAGAGGAGAUCUCAGACAAGCUAUCUUUCUAGGUCCAUCAAAGCAGGACUCCAGCAAGUGAUGUGUCUUAGACAAAAGUAAAAGCACAGGCAAAAAGGAAUUAAAGAGAGAUGGAUAUGAGCUAGCUAGGAGUUUCCAUCAAACAACUCAGCUAUGCAACAGAACUGAGAACGAUAGAGCUGGUCAUUAUCUGAUUAGACAAAAAAUCAGGUAAUUUGUUUCUAUGGCAAAAUAACAUGUGUAACAAAAAUGCAACAAUGUACUUCAAAAUGUUAAGAGUUCAGACUUCAGCUUAACUGAAAUAGUCAAAAUCCAGUCCUAACAUUUUAAGGAAUUAACACUCUGCCCAAGCAAUAAAAAAAGAUACACAGUCCCAAAUGAAAAAUAAUUGCUCAGCUUCUCAAAAGCAACUGCUACAAGACAUCUCUGAAAAUCCCAGUUUGCACAUCUUAAAUGUUCCCUGAAGUGAUAAACAUGCAGUUCCAGGGUUAAAAAUCAUUAAAGCUCAUUCUCUGAUCAUGGCUACAUUUCUGUGCCAUCAAAUAUUACGCUACAAAGACAUUUAAAUUUUUGGAAUCACCACAACCACUUCCAUAGGAGAAAGUAAGUACACCAGCACAUGGACCAUUCAUCCUUGGGAGCACGAGAUAACAUCAGCCAAUAGUUUUUUUAAAUUCACAUCGAUUCUAGUGUACAUUCAUAUUUUUAUUAUCUCUUUCACAAUACCUCUCACUUUCAAGAAGGCUGACAGAUGCUAUUUAAACCUAGGCUAGUAUCAGGAAAUACUUACUCCGGAACAAGGUACUUUAAGUAUAUUACAUUUCU